GACGAACGCUGGCGGCGUGCCUAAUACAUGCAAGUAGAACGCUGAAGGAGGAGCUUGCUUCUCUGGAUGAGUUGCGAACGGGUGAGUAACGCGUAGGUAACCUGCCUGGUAGCGGGGGAUAACUAUUGGAAACGAUAGCUAAUACCGCAUAAUAGUAGAUGUUGCAUGACAUUUGCUUAAAAGGUGCAAUUGCAUCACUACCAGAUGGACCUGCGUUGUAUUAGCUAGUUGGUGGGGUAACGGCUCACCAAGGCGACGAUACAUAGCCGACCUGAGAGGGUGAUCGGCCACACUGGGACUGAGACACGGCCCAGACUCCUACGGGAGGCAGCAGUAGGGAAUCUUAGGCAAUGGACGGAAGUCUGACCGAGCAACGCCGCGUGAGUGAAGAAGGUUUUCGGAUCGUAAAGCUCUGUUGUAAGAGAAGAACGAGUGUGAGAGUGGAAAGUUCACACUGUGACGGUAUCUUACCAGAAAGGGACGGCUAACUACGUG
rnacentral:rRNA from 1 species